rnacentral:rRNA from 1 species
GACGAACGCUGGCGGCGUGCCUAAUACAUGCAAGUCGAACGCAGUGGGGACGGGUGCUUAACACGUGGGUAACCUCCCAUCAGAGGGGAUAACACUUGGAAACAGGUGCUAAACCCAUAUUGAUGGAUGUACCCGCGGUGCAUUAGCUAGUUGGUGAGGUAACGGCUCACCAAGGCCACGAGGCAUAGCCGACCUGAGAGGGUGAUCGGCCACACUGGGACUGAGACACGGCCCAGACUCCUACGGGAGGCAGCAGUAGGGAAUAUUCGGCAAUGGACGAAAGUCUGACCGAGCAACGCCGCGUGAGUGAAGAAGGUUUUCGGAUCGUAAAACUCUGUUGUUAGAGAAGCGGUAUCUAACCAGAAAGCAACGGCUAACUACGUGCCAGCAGCCGCGGUAAUAC